GUCCAGACUCCUACGGGAGGCAGCCGUGGGGAAUAUUGGGCAAUGGGCGCACGCCUGACCCAGCACCUCCUCGUGAAGGCAGCAGGCUUUCGGGUUGUCCACUUCUUUUAUUCUGGACGAAAGCCCUGACGGUACCUCCUUCAUAAGCCCCUGCUCACUACGUUCCCGCCGCCGCGGUCCUCCGUAGGUGGCCCUCGUUAUCCGGCUUUCCUGGGUGUAAAGGGCGUGUAGGCGGGACUGCAAGUCAGAUUGGAAAAUUAGGGGAGCAACCCAUAACCUGUAUUUGAAACUGUAGUUCGUGAGUGAUGGAGAGGCAGGCGGAAUUCCGUGUGUAGCGGUGAAAUGCGUAGAGAGACGGAGGAACACCAGUGGCGAAGGCGGCCUGCUGGACAUUAACUGACGCUGAGGCGCGAAAGCGUGGGGAGCAAACAGGAUUAGAUACCCUCGUA
rnacentral:rRNA from 1 species